GGCGCGGGCCGCUGCGCCCGCCUCACGGCGUGGCGCGGCGACCGCUCCAUCCUCGCGCGGAAGGCGCGGGCCUUCACUGGUCCGCGUCGGACGCGCGUCCUUUACUGUGAACAAAUUAGAGUGUUUAAAGCAGGCUUCCCGCUUGAAUACAUUAGCAUGGAAUAAUGAGAUAGGACUUCGGUGCUAUUUUGUUGGUUGCGUACCGAGGUA
rnacentral:rRNA from 1 species